rnacentral:rRNA from 1 species
AUACGGAGGAUCCGAGCGUUAUCCGGAUUUAUUGGGUUUAAAGGGUGCGUAGGUGGUUUGAUAAGUCAGCGGUGAAAGUUUGCAGCUUAACUGUAAAAAUGCCGUUGAAACUGUCGGACUUGAGUGUAAAUGAGGUAGGCGGAAUGCGUGGUGUAGCGGUGAAAUGCAUAGAUAUCACGCAGAACUCCGAUUGCGAAGGCAGCUUACUAAGCUACAACUGGCACUGAAGCACGAAAGCGUGGGGAUCAAACAGGAUUAGAUACCCUGGUAGUCCACGCAGUAAACGAUGAUUACUAGCUGUUUGCGAUACACAGUAAGCGGCACAGCGAAAGCGUUAAGUAAUCCACCUGGGGAGUACGCCGGCAACGGUGAAACUCAAAUGAAUUGACGGGG